GAUGAACGCUGGCGGCAUGCCUAAUACAUGCAAGUCGAGCGAACAGACGAGGAGCUUGCUCCUCUGACGUUAGCGGCGGACGGGUGAGUAACACGUGGAUAACCUACCUAUAAGACUGGGAUAACUUCGGGAAACCGGAGCUAAUACCGGAUAAUAUAUUGAACCGCAUGGUUCAAUAGUGAAAGACGGUUUUGCUGUCACUUAUAGAUGGAUCCGCGCCGCAUUAGCUAGUUGGUAAGGUAACGGCUUACCAAGGCGACGAUGCGUAGCCGACCUGAGAGGGUGAUCGGCCACACUGGAACUGAGACGCGGUCCAGACUCCUACGGGAGGCAGCAGUAGGGAAUCUUCCGCAAUGGGCGAAAGCCUGACGGAGCAACGCCGCGUGAGUGAUGAAGGUCUUCGGAUCGUAAAACUCUGUUAUUAGGGAAGAACAAAUGUGUAAGUAACUAUGCACGUCUUGACGGUACCUAAUCAGAAAGCCACGGCUAACUACGUG
rnacentral:rRNA from 1 species